rnacentral:rRNA from 1 species
AUGUGCGUAAACAGGAAGUACAAUCUAGGCGUCAUCAUUGACCUACACGCAGCUCCUGGGUUGCAAAACCCCUUUGAGCAUAGUUCCUACAAGGAUGGUUCACAAGACUGGGGCACCACCGAUGCUAACAACAUAGAAACCGUGCAAGUGAUAGAUUUCCUUGCAUCCAGGUACGCUAAAAGUCCAAGCCUCCUCUCUAUUGAGCUGAUGAACGAGCCGCUGGUGCCCGGGGUGUCUCUGGAGAGCCUGGAAACGUAUCAUCGCGAUGGGUACAACGCCGUCAGGAAGUACUCGUCGGAGGCCCACGUGAUCAUGUCCAACUGUUUGUCAUCCCCGGACCCAACAAAGAUCCUCGGGCUCGCCGGCGGUUUCACCGUUCAGCAGAACAUUGAUUUUAUCAAGACCAACUACUCAAGCGCUCUCAGCACUGUGACGAAACAAAAUGGUCCUCUCAGCUUUGUAGGUGAAUGGGUGUUUGAGUGUCAGGUUCGCAAUGCAAUGAAGGAGGAGUUCCAAAUGCUUGCAAAUGCACAUAUGGAUGUGUAUGGGAAGGCAACGUUUGGGUGGGCCUACUGGAAUCUCAAGAAUGUGAACAACCACUGGAGUAUGGAGUGGAUGAUCAAGAAUGGAUACAUCUCCUUGAAAAACUAG